rnacentral:tRNA from 1 species
UCCCCUGUGGCUCAAGAGGCAGAGCGGCGCCCUGUUAAGGCGAUGAGUGAAGGUUCGAGUCCUUCCGGGGGAG